ensembl:snRNA U6 U6 spliceosomal RNA
UCUGUCUCAAAAAUAAAUUUUAAAAACUGGAGCAAUAUAGAAAAGAUUAGCACGGCCCCUGAAAGGAGGACAUGAAAAUUCAUGAAAAGUUCCUUAUCAAU